UCCUCCCAGAUGAAAGGUACCAGCAAAAAAGCUCUUGCUGCCCAUGGAGUGCCGAGGCUGACCCACCAAGUGCACCAGAAAACCAAAGCUUCCAGGCUUUCUUUCCUGUGAAGAAACUGUUUCUUUUGGUUUUUUGAGGCCUGCACUGAAACUGCCAGUUCGAGUCCCAGAAGUCCACCCAGCUGAAGAUUCCUCCCAGACCAAAGGUGCCACACCAGAAAUCUCCUGCUGGCCAUGGAGUUCCCAGGCUGGCCCGCCAAGUGCACCAGAAAGCCAAAGCUUCCAGGCUUUCUGUCCUGCCAAUAAGUAGGGUUUUUUUUGGUUUUUUGAGCCCUGUACAGAAACUGCCAGUUCGAGUCCCAGAAGUCCACCCAGAUGAAGAUUCCUCCCAUAGCGAAGGUACCACCAAAAAAGCUCUUGCUGCCCAUGGAGUUCCCAGGCUGGCCCGCCAAGUGCACCAGAAAGCCAAAGCUUCCAGGCUUUCUGUCCAGCCAAUAAGCAUUUUUUUUUUUUGGUUUUUUGAGUCCUG